UACGUAGGGUGCAAGCGUUGUCCGGAAUUAUUGGGCGUAAGGGCUCGUAGGCGGUCCAUCGCGUCGGGAGUGAAAGCUGGGGCUUAACCCCAGUCCUGCUUCCGAUACGGGUGGACUAGAGGUAGGUAGGGAGAACGGAAUUCCUGGUGUAGCGGUGAAAUGCGUAGAUAUCGGGAGGAACACCUGUGGCGAAAGCGGCGCACUGGACCAUAACUGACGCUGAGGCGCGAAAGCUAGGGAGCAAACAGG
rnacentral:rRNA from 1 species